rnacentral:tRNA from 1 species
GACUGGGUGGCUCAGUCGGUUAAGCGCCUGACUUCGGGUCAGGUCAAAUCUCACGGUUUGUGGGUUCGAGCCCCGCAUCGGGCU